UCAAAUAAAUACGUAUGUUUUUAUUAUCAGAACCAAGUAUAAAUUAACAAGUAAUACUUUAAAAAAUCUUUAUUUGAUUUUUGUUUUUGUAUUUAUACUUGUAGGGACAGCUGAUUGCAGAAUUAGAGUUUGCAAACAUGCCACAGAAAGGAAUGGCCAGGCUUUUUCGGAUGCUGUUUACUGGUUUGGAAAACAAAGAAAAAUUAAAAUUUCUAGAAGAUUGCGUGCUGGAAAAAUGGCCUGACAUCCAAAGGAGUGGAAUUUGGAGAGUCAUUCGCCAUCUACUGCAGCCAUCCAAAAAUAUGAAAAAAUAAGAUUGCAUUGACAUUCUGAUCCUCUUGUUCAGAUCUUUUGUUUUGUUGUGAAGUGUCAUUGAUUUUUGCAAAAAAUAUAUAUACAUAUAUGAA